GACGAACGCUGGCGGCGUGCAUAACACAUGCAAGUCGAACGCUGAAGCUCAGCUUUUGUUGGGUGGAUGAGUGGCGAACGGGUGAGUAACACGUGAGUAACCUGCCCCCUUCUUUGGGAUAACGCCCGGAAACGGGUGCUAAUACUGGAUAUUCACUGGUCUUCGCAUGGGGGUUGGUGGAAAGGGUUUUUCUGGUGGGGGAUGGGCUCGCGGCCUAUCAGCUUGUUGGUGGGGUGAUGGCCUACCAAGGCUUUGACGGGUAGCCGGCCUGAGAGGGUGACCGGUCACAUUGGGACUGAGAUACGGCCCAGACUCCUACGGGAGGCAGCAGUGGGGAAUAUUGCACAAUGGGCGCAAGCCUGAUGCAGCGACGCCGCGUGAGGGAUGGAGGCCUUCGGGUUGUGAACCUCUUUCGCUCAUGGUCAAGCCGCAACAAUGGUUGUGGUGAGGGUAGUGGGUAAAGAAGCGCCGGCUAACUACGUG
rnacentral:rRNA from 1 species